UUUUUUCCAAGAGAUUUUGGUCACAAAGGUAAAUCACGUGAACUUUCACAAAUGGAGAUCACUUGGUUUGUAGUUUGGAGUAUUUGGAUCUUGUGUCAGACCUCAUCUGCUGCAGACGGGGCAUCGUGUGAACCUGGAUUUGAGUCAGAGCUGUUUAUAUUAAAAGUGAGCAGAAAGAACCUGAAGCCCGGCACAAGACUGGGCAAAGUUGGCUUCACUGACUGCACGAGCCGCACAAGAUUUCUCUUCAGC